AGAGUUUGAUCCUGGCUCAGGACGAACGCUGGCGGCGUGCCUAAUACAUGCAAGUAGGACGCACAGUUUAUACCGUAGCUUGCUACACCAUAGACUGUGAGUUGCGAACGGGUGAGUAACGCGUAGGUAACCUACCUAUUAGAGGGGGAUAACUAUUGGAAACGAUAGCUAAUACCGCAUAACAGUAUGUAACACAUGUUAGAUGCUUGAAAGAUGCAAUUGCAUCGCUAGUAGAUGGACCUGCGUUGUAUUAGCUAGUAGGUAGGGUAAUGGCCUACCUAGGCAACGAUACAUAGCCGACCUGAGAGGGUGAUCGGCCACACUGGGACUGAGACACGGCCCAGACUCCUACGGGAGGCAGCAGUAGGGAAUCUUCGGCAAUGGGGGGAACCCUGACCGAGCAACGCCGCGUGAGUGAAGAAGGUUUUCGGAUCGUAAAGCUCUGUUGUUAAGGAAGAACGAGUGUGAGAAUGGAAAGUUCAUGCUGUGACGGUACUUAACCAGAAAGGGACGGCUAACUACGUGCCAGCAGCCGCGGUAAUACGUAGGUCCCGAGCGUUGUCCGGAUUUAUUGGGCGUAAAGCGAGCGCAGGCGGUUAGAAAAGUCUGAAGUGAAAGGCAGUGGCUCAACCAUUGUAGGCUUUGGAAACUGUUUAACUUGAGUGCAGAAGGGGAGAGUGGAAUUCCAUGUGUAGCGGUGAAAUGCGUAGAUAUAUGGAGGAACACCGGUGGCGAAAGCGGCUCUCUGGUCUGUAACUGACGCUGAGGCUCGAAAGCGUGGGGAGCGAACAGGAUUAGAUACCCUGGUAGUCCACGCCGUAAACGAUGAGUGCUAGGUGUUAGGUCCUUUCCGGGACUUAGUGCCGCAGCUAACGCAUUAAGCACUCCGCCUGGGGAGUACGACCGCAAGGUUGAAACUCAAAGGAAUUGACGGGGGCCCGCACAAGCGGUGGAGCAUGU
rnacentral:rRNA from 1 species